rnacentral:rRNA from 1 species
UACAGAGGGUGCGAGCGUUAAUCGGAAUUACUGGGCGUAAAGGGCGCGUAGGCGGUUGGAGAAGUGAGAUGUGAAAUCCCUGGGCUUAACCUGGGAACUGCAUCUUAAACUGACUGGCUGGAGUACUGUAGAGGACAGUGGAAUUUCCGGUGUAGCGGUGAAAUGCGUAGAGAUCGGAAGGAACAUCAGUGGCGAAGGCGACUGUCUGGACAGAUACUGACGCUGAGGCGCGAAAGCGUGGGGAGCAAAC